AGACCCGAAACCCGGUGAUCUAGCCAUGGGCAGGUUGAAGGUUGGGUAACACUAACUGGAGGACCGAACCGACUAAUGUUGAAAAAUUAGCGGAUGACCUGUGGCUGGGGGUGAAAGGCCAAUCAAACCGGGAGAUAGCUGGUUCUCCCCGAAAGCUAUUUAGGUAGCGCCUCGUGAAUUCAUCUCCGGGGGUAGAGCACUGUUUCGGCUAGGGGGCCAUCCCGGCUUACCAACCCGAUGCAAACUGCGAAUACCGGAGAAUGUUAUCACGGGAGACACACGGCGGGUGCUAACGUCCGUCGUGAAGAGGGAAACAACCCAGACCGCCAGCUAAGGUCCCAAAGUCAUGGUUAAGUGGGAAACGAUGUGGGAAGGCCCAGACAGCCAGGAUGUUGGCUUAGAAGCAGCCAUCAUUUAAAGAAAGCGUAAUAGCUCACUGGUCGAGUCGGCCUGCGCGGAAGAUGUAACGGGGCUAAACCAUGCACCGAAGCUGCGGCAGCGACACUGUGUGUUGUUGGGUAGGGGAGCGUUCUGUAAGC
rnacentral:rRNA from 4 species